AGCACUUCUAGAAUACCAGGGUUUCAGAAUGAAGAGGUCCUAGCUUUCUAAGGUUCUGCAGUUCAUUCUAGAGUUCCACAUUCGAUUCCUGAAUCCACAGAGUGAAGGUAGGAGUAGAUGCGGGCUCUAAGAGCGGGAGGUUCUAGCAAGCCAUGUUCCCGCAAUUCUGAGAUUGGGAGGUACAUUCCUUGAUUUUGAGAUUCUAUGAGGGCUCGUUUCUACAGUUAUGUAUUUCAAGGAGAUACAGUACUCAGGAGCUUGAGCCCUGAGAUUCUAACCCUGGGUCUAGUGUCUGGAUCCCAGAAUGUUAAGGUUCUCAACAGGCAGGGGUUUUUGCAAGAGGAGAG
rnacentral:lncRNA from 1 species